GGAAUGCUUCCAGUUUUUGCCCAUUCUGUAUGAUAUUGGCUGUGGGUUUGUCAUAAAUAGCUCUUAUUAUUUUGAGAUAUGUUCCAACAACACCGAAUUUAGUCAUGCAGUUUAAUAGGCAAGAAAAAAGGAAGAGCACCCCAUACUGAGACAGAGGGAGGGUGGCUCCAAAGCCAAAAGAGGAAACCCGGAGUGCUGUGGAUACCAAUGAGUUAUAUGAAGAAACUGGAAGAGGUGGUGUCUGAUUUGCAUAGGGUUCAGGGGAUUGGUUUGACCAGGCAUGUCAUUUAUGUAGCCCACAAAAAAACUGGCCCUCCCACCCUAUCCUGUGAAUAGGCACUUUCCAGUCACCCUGAUUUCCUACACACAUGGGGAUAUGUGGGGGUGGCUAUAUUGCCAGGCACACGUGGGGGCAAGGGUCAGAAAAGGGCGGGAAUCGCCAUGUUUGGGUGGAUUCAGUUUCUAAUGGCCGGAAUUUGCAGAUCAAGGUUACUGGAGAACUCUAAAAGUCGGGCUUUCCUGCUAGACAAGACCCAUUUCUGGAGCUGCUUAAAAAGAAACAAAACUUCCUAUGGACCCCUUUUCCUCCCUGUCUGCCUAAAAUAACUUCUUAACGACUCCUAUGACACCUGAAUUCAGCCCCCUUCCUGGGGGAAUGUACCAACGGAACUCCUGCCUUUCCUGGUUUCUCAAGGCUGGAUUGUGUAAACCUCCUGGGUCUGAGUCUGUCUGAGCGACUGCUCUGCCAACUCACGAGAGUUGUGACAUCAGCUCAUGUGAGAAUCUCCUGAUUAAUUGGUUGCAAAGAUCCAUGGGAAAAACAUGGCUUCUGGGGCGGGGUCACACACUCACUGCUUCCCUUGGCUGUGCGAGAAAGUUCCUUUGGCUGUUCUGAUAUGGCGUGGUUCAUCACCCACCCCCGUUUUCUUUGUUCUCCUGAGUCAAGUUGUUUGCCUAGUCAGUCCCAAUGUGAGAACCUAAAUAUUUCAGUUCAGGCGCUAAUGGUGAAAUUCGCUGCGAUUUUCAUUCAGGGGAAGGCAGCCGCUUCUUAUUCGCCAUCUUGGCCGUCCCCUCCAUGUCACCUCUGCACUUCUAAUUGGCCAUCUCGGCCACUUCCUCCACGUCACUUCCUACAAAAUGGCCACUUCUAAUUGGCCAUCUUGGCCCCCCUCUUCCACGUCACCUUCUGUAAAAUGGCCCCCCUCUCCAGGAAUGACACCAUUAUAUAUCUUUACCCUAACCCAGCAGCGCGCUCAUUACACUUUUCAUGGGCUCAUUUACUUCACGUAUAACGAAAGCGGCCAUGGAAACGCUAGUGGAUAAAGUGGUCGAUUUUCUGAUGGAUGAGAUAGAAAAAUGGUUUGCUGACCAAUUAAUGACAUAUGUCUCAAAACUAGUAAUGAGACUCUUAAUCGCUGGGUUGAAGGUUCUAAUCAAGAAGAUGCUCUUCUAUAUAUUGAACAAAAUAGCUUCCCUUGCUUCUGAAACACUUCCAAACAUCUUACGUUUCCUGAAGAAGAUGAUGCCUGGACAAGCGGCACAGGAUGAAGAGGGUGAUCCGGAAGAGUUUCUGGAACUACUCGGCUUUGGUGUUUAAACAACCACCAGGAAAUUUUGAUUACCGUUCUCUCCGGAGCUCCUCUCUUUCCCCCGAGAAACAAAAGCAUCAACACUAAAAAAAUAAAGUGUUAUUUGUAUAGAA